rnacentral:rRNA from 1 species
CCUACGGGGGGCAGCAGUGGGGAAUAUUGCACAAUGGGGGAAACCCUGAUGCAGCGACGCCGCGUGAGUGAAGAAGUAUUUCGGUAUGUAAAGCUCUAUCAGCAGGAACGAGACAAGACGGUACCUGACUAAGAAGCCCCGGCUAACUACGUGCCAGCAGCCGCGGUAAUACGUAGGGGGCAAGCGUUACCCGGAAUCACUGGGUGGAAAGGGAGCGUAGACGGCUGAGCAAGCCUGAAGUGAAAGGCGGGGGCCCAACCCCCGGACUGCUUUGGGAACUGUACGGCUGGAGUGCAGGAGGGGUAAGUGGAAUUCCUAGUGUAGCAGUGAAAUGCGUAGAUAUUAGGAGGAACACCAGUGGCGAAGGCGGCUUACUGGACUGUAACUGACGUUGAGGCUCGAAAGCGUGGGGAGCAAACAGGAUUAGAUACCCUGGUAGUC